rnacentral:rRNA from 1 species
UCUACGGGAGGCUGCAGUGAGGAAUAUUGGUCAAUGGGAGAGAUCCUGAACCAGCCAAGCCGCGUGAGGGAAGACGGCCCUAUGGGUUGUAAACCUCUUUUGUCGGAGAACAAAACCCGGGACGUGUCCCGGACUGCGUGUAUCCGAAGAAAAAGCAUCGGCUAACUCCGUGCCAGCAGCCGCGGUAAUACGGGGGAUGCGAGCGUUAUCCGGAUUUAUUGGGUUUACAGGGUGCGUAGGCGGUCCGUUAAGUCAGCGGUAAAAUUUAGGUGCUCAACCCCGUCGAGCCGUUGAACCUGGCAGACUUGAGUUGGCGAGAAGUACGCGGAAUGCGCGGUGUAGCGGUGAAAUGCAUAGAUAUCGCGCAGAACUCCGAUUGCGAAGGCAGCGUACCGGCGCCCAACUGACGCUGAAGCACGAAAGCGUGGGUAUCGAACAGGAUUAGAUACCCGGGUAGUC